ACACGUGGAUACACGAAGAAGAGACGUUGGUGUAACAGGUGGGGACCUCCGGCCGGGUGUCCUGGCUGCGCAGCCUCUGGAGAAAAUGUGCAUUUGCAUUUCCAGUGACCGAUGGAAAUUGUGUUUGGCCUGCUGGCACAAGCAGCUCUGCCCACACAAAGGAAGAGAGCUGAUCUCCAGCGUAUCAUUGGAUAAUUGGUUUCCACUGUCAGUUCAGAGGAUUGACGUGCACGUGUCAGUCCCCCGACUGAUGAUGUGCGCCAACAUGUGUGGCUCAGUGCAUGUAGAAGAGACAGAAAAAGCGAAGGAGGCGGUUCAGCAAUAACACAGGAUCGGGGUGUUUUCGUCUGGCGUGCAUGUGACCAUAGACGUGUAUUUAAGCCUGGCUGUCAGAAACACAUUACGUCUGCUGCAGGGAGGAGUUGUGGUGUAGCCGGGCCAUUAGGUUGCCGCAGAGUGAGUAAAAGAAAACAGACGGGCUAAACUGCUCGGGGCAAUAAUGGAGGGUACGUGCUAGUGUUCCUGAAGGGUACAAACUGUACUAUCCGUGAAAAUUGGCACCGAGUACAAUGAAAGAAGGGAAAGACGUGCGUCAGACUGCCUGAAGGAGGGGGUACCACAGCAUCACAUGCCACUUGACCCUCGUUUCAUCAAAGUGCAACAGAAAGAGCUGUCCCCUCCUAAUGCCUCACACUUCAUGGACAGGGGGACAUGCCGUGACUGAAAAUGACUCUUCAGGACCUUUUUAUUGUCAAAGCUGAACAUUUCUGCUACUAUGAGAUUUUAGUUUUAUCACAGAUAACUUAAAUGGACAUGGUUUAAUUUGUAUAUGCUCUGUCUAUGUUGGAUACUCUGAGGGACAGUCCCUGCAUGAAUAUUUUCAAUGAAGCCAGUCUCCUCUGUGGCAGAUUCCAUUUGUGUGACGCAGACAUAGCUAUACAACGAAACCUGUGUCAAGGUGCUCCCUGCUGCAUCAAAAUCUCCAGCCCGAGCCUCUGCUGCGUAAAGGGCAGAUAAAGGCUUCAGUACAUUCACUCAGCAGACCUCCGGGCUCUCAAGCACCUGGAAGGGUGAAUUAAUGCGGUUCACGGGACUGGAAAGUGGGUCAAGCUCCAGUGCUUUUUGCAGCCAUCUCGGCUCACUGUAGACAUUCAGUUAUACAAGCAGAUCUAUUGUUAUUGACCGUGAUGAGGACAAGAUGCUGCCGAGCUUCCAGGGGAGAAGAAGGGCAGCACAGGAAUCUGGAGCUGCUAUAGAAAUAAGGGAAAAUAUGCAGGGGGAUAUGAUAUCUGUGUGUAUAUGUAUGUGUGUGUCUGUGUGUGAUAGGGGGUUGAUUUCCAAUGGCGUGCAGAUUUCUGAUACACUACCCGUGAGGCCACUUAAAUGCUUGUGGAAAUUAGUUUGUAGCGCGACAUCUUUUUCUGCCUGUUUCUUCAUUUCGUUCCUCCCAAGAGCCACUGUCGAUUCACUUUUUAUUAUCCUGUAAAGAACAGUUACAAACACCCACGAUCGCACACGACCUGAUAUCAUAACAAACCUGGGAAUGAUAAGUUACGAAAACUAGGUCAGCGCUUUAAAUAACCUGACACUAUUAUGCGCCGAAUCUCUGACCUGUCAGAAAAGUCAGUGUUUGUAUAAACACUUGUCACGCUUUCCAUUUAGGCCACUGUGCAGUAACCUGAAUGCAUUAUGAGUGGCCCGCAUGAUGAUGUGCACUCACAUUAUAUACAAAGCGGCAGACAUAAUUUCCAGGGCUGCCUGCAUUAGAUGGCCACGGUGAACUCUUCUACUCCCCGCUUUGUGCAACGAGAACAAUGUGGCUAUUGUGCCAUUGUCGCCGUCGCGACCACAAGUGAAAGUGUUUGUCGAACAGAACAGGUGCAUUUCAGGUUCGAACAGGGCCGUCACGUGAAUGAAGAUUUCUGUGGUUCUUUUUUAGGAAUUCGUUAUUGUGAAAUAUAUUGUUUGACUUUCUGUUCGGAUUUGAAAUUCUCAGAAUCACAAAAUGGCACAGUUUGAGUAGCUUGGAUAAUGGGAGAUGUGGGGCACUGAACUUGAUGAAUGUGAUUACUGUGCUACAUAAAACUUAAUAACUUGUACUGAAACACAAUUUUAUGACAUUAUUCACUUAUUUUGAUUAAAUUUGAUCUGUACUGAGGAAAAAAAACUCAGAGGAUUUGCAACAGAGUUUCCUGAUGGAGCUUUACGCAGCUUUACUGUCAAUUGUUUCUCAGCCAGUUAGCUGUCAGCUUGUGGUCAUAUACACAAAUUACACUGUUUGUAUUUGUACAUAGUAUGUAUAUACAAGUCUAUUUGUAUAUCUUCCUGUUUUAUGAUAUUGUUAAUUUUUUACUAUUAUCAUUGUUUAUUGUAGUAUUACUGUCCUUUGGCUGCUGGGACGCUCACAUUUCCCCGUUUGCAGGACCGAUAAAGGAAUUCUGAUUCUGAUUGUGACAUCGGAGAAACGUUACCACAUGAUGAUCCAAAUCAAAAUCCUGGUUGUAGCCACUGUUUGAGAUGGUUUCAUUUUAUUUCUACCAAGACUGCUGCGCCUUGUCCCGCCCUGCUGCGCUGUGAUUGGCUUUGAAUAUCAGUCCUGUGAUUUUCACAAUGAAGCAGAAGGCAUUAAAAACAAGGAAAAGAAAAUACAAAAAUAAAUCAGUUUGUGGAAAUAAAUGGGGGGAAAUCUAUUGUCUAUAGUCCAAACAUUCAUUUUUAAUGUUAUUUUUGGUGCAUUUAAUGGUGUAAAUGUGUAUUUAUUGAGCGAGUUAUUUAUUUUUUUAAUUUGGCAUUUUCACUCCUCCAUACAAGGGAGUUCUGGAAUAGAAACUGUAUGGGAAAUGUAUGAAAAGUAUGUGCAUUAUAUUUACAUUGAUAUAAACACAUAUUUGUCCAGCAUACGAUGUGUUGGAUUACAUUUAUGAAGGACUAAAGAGAGUAGACUAAUAGAUGAUGACAAAGAUUAUGAUGAUUAUGAUGAUGAAGAAGAAGAGUGUAACGCUGCCUUCCAUGGUGCCUUCUUAAGUAUGCAGAUUUAUAAGCAAUUUUAUAAUCCAUUAAGUAAAUUAAAGAGCAGCAAUGUCAACCAUCAAUUACUUCCUUCCACCUUUUAAAAUGUGAGGAUUUUAUGUUUGUCUCUGUUUUGUAUCAUUUUUAUCUGUAAAACCUUUGUUUGUUUUUAACUGUUGGACAAAACAAGCACUUUAAAAACACCAUUCUGGGCUCUGGAAAAAUCUGAUUUUGCAGUGUUUACUACUUUGCAGUUUUUUUUACUACAGAAACAUGUUGACAUUGGAAGCCAACAUUGUGUUUUAAGGCAUUAAAUCAAAAGAGUUUGUAACACUCUGUCAGGUUGUGCAAUAACAACUUGAACAGUUUUGAAGAGCAGGGGGGGGAAAUACAGCUCCCAGAUAUAGAAAGCUGAUAAAGGCAAAUCCAUGCUGGCUGACUCAAGGCUGCCAAGGUUGCAUCAGUUUAAUAUUGUUUUUGAGGUGUUGUAACAAGUAUGUUCUAUUUUAUAUGUGGAAUUCAUAUCAGUCACUUUGCUGGGAUCUGUUUCCACUUUUAUAUUAAAACACUUCAUUAAAUCAGUUUUGUUUGACUUCCAACUUCCAAGGAGGGUCAGUACCUUUCAUAAGCUCUGUAUUUUCUGAGCUUUUUCAAACACUAAACAAUAAAUCAACUUAUUGAAAAGAAUAGAAUACUUGAUAAUGAACAUGCACAAUAGUUUCUUUGUGUUUACUUGUGUAAUUGAGAAAACGAAAUGCUUCCAAAAUGUGCGUCCUCUUGUAGAAUUUCUUAAACCACAGAUGACACAGAAAACAGACUGCCAGCGUGCCAACGUGUCGGCACAGCGUGUGAGCCAGAACAAAGUGCCAUUACCCAGCAUGCCCUGUUCAUCUGUAUACAGAAGUAUUGUACAUGUAAACUACAGUCCAGAUGAGUGCGUCUGGAACAGUUUGUACCAGGAACCAAUAAGCAUGCCAACGUUUUUUGCUUUUUGUGUGUGUAAUAAUUCACUCCCCCUCUUCUUCUCCAUCCAGCUCUCUCUGUUCUGGACAAGUUCAUAGAGUUGUUACGCUGUUGAUGAAACACAGGAAGUGUUUAUUAUAUUAGUUUUGAGUGUUCUGGGAAACCCCAUGAGUGCAAAAUGAGAGGUAACUACACUAGGCUGUUAACUCUACAAGGUUUCAUCUGACUGGGGAAGUUAAUCAUGAUUACACCAAUAAAGUUGAAUUGAUGAGAGCAUCCGUGUUCUGGAGGCGUGUUGUACUGACUGACAUAAAAACAAAUCUGCUCUUAUGACCAUACACUUGUUUUUCUUUUUCCCUGAAGUGCUUUUUUUCCUCAUGAGACUUUGACUGGCAGUAGUUUAACUCACCUAACACAUCUUCCUGUUUGGCAA